AGCGAACGCUGGCGGCAGGCUUAGCACAUGCAAGUCGAACGCUCACCUUCGGGUGGGAGUGGCAGACGGGUGAGUAACACGUGGGAACGUGCCCUUCAGUUCGGAACAACUCAGGGAAACUUGAGCUAAUACCGGAUACGCCCUUUGGGGGAAAGAUUUAUCGCUGAAGGAUCGGCCCGCGUCUGAUUAGCUAGUUGGUGAGGUAAUGGCUCACCAAGGCGACGAUCAGUAGCUGGUCUGAGAGGAUGAUCAGCCACACUGGGACUGAGACACGGCCCAGACUCCUACGGGAGGCAGCAGUGGGGGAAUAUUGGACAAUGGGCGCAAGCCUGAUCCAGCCAUGCCGCGUGAGUGAUGAAGGCCUUAGGGUUGUAAAGCUCUUUCGUCCGGGACGAUAAUGACGGUACCGGAAGAAGAAGCCCCGGCUAACUUCGUGCCAGCCGCCGCGGUAAUU
rnacentral:rRNA from 1 species